CACGUAGUUAGCCGGAGCUUCCUCCUCUGCUACCGUCAUUAUCUUCACAGAGGACAGAGGUUUACAAUCCGAAAACCGUCUUCCCUCACGCGGCGUUGCUGGUUCAGGGUUUCCCCCAUUGGCCAAUAUCCCUCACUGCUGCCUCCCGUAGGAGUCUGGGCCGUGUCUCAGUCCCAAUGUGGCCGUUCAACCUCUCAGUCCGGCUACCGAUCGUCGACUUGGUGGGCCGUUACCCCCCCAACUAUCUAAUCGGACGCGAGCCCAUCUUUCAGCGGAUUGCUCCUUUGACCCCUCUCCCAUGUGGAAGUGUGGUCUUAUGCGGUAUUAGCGUUCGUUUCCAAACGUUAUCCCCCUCUGAAAGGCAGGUUGCUCACGCGUUACUCACCCGUCCGCCACUAAGCUAUACAAGAACUUCCUUCAGCAAGCUGCUCUCCGUUCAGCGCAUAGCUCCGUUCGACUUGCAUGUGUUAGGCACGCCGCCAGCCGUUCGUCCUGCGCGUACGGAGUCAAACUCUACG
rnacentral:rRNA from 1 species